UUGCAGUCGAGUCGAGUGGUAGGUAGACCGGUUUCCCCCGCCGAAGAGGGUCCGGUUAAACACCGAAAAUAAAAUCUGUAGAUCAUGGAAAUCCGAAAUAAAACGCACAAUACAUAUUGGGACAGCUCAGCAGAUAAGGAGACUGAAGAAAUCUGAUGUCCCCUCUGACCCUUACCAUUUGUUAUCAGUACACCAUGGAAAGCUUCCAUCUGGGAGCACAUCACAGAAACCUCCAUAGAUUCUGUCUAUACUUCUUACUGACUCGGUGAAACAGGCAACAUAAGCAGAAAACUCAUCUGACUGGAUGUUCUUCUUUCUCUCCUUCUCCCAUUGAGCUUGAAAAUUUGUAUCACCAGGCUCAAGCAUAACUUCCUCCUGGUGUUAAGACUAUUGAUUGGUCCCCUAGUAAGUUACACAUACUCUGGCAAUCACGGAUGACUGGUGAUUUGGAAUGGAAACCUGACCUGUGCUUCUCUUCCUUUCCUUAAGGUAUGUAUAUUAAUUAUAGCAUCCUAUUGCCACUGAUGUAGAGCUUGGAAGAGCUACCUCAGCUUGGACAGGGGGAUGAAAUGUGGAACUUUCUAGGACUGUACUGCUCAGCCACUUGCUGAGCGAUUGCAUUUUAAUCGUAAAAACAAUUUUCUUUCUCUUUUCCUCCUUCUGUAUUUCUGG